GUAUUUUUAAACAUCUAAUAACAUGAACAUCUGUAUGAUUCUAACUUGUCAUUAUAGGAGUGGAAAAGAUGAACCCGCUUACUGUCCGGGUCUUCAUGGGCAGCAAAGUUGUCCACCAGUUCUUAAAUAUGUGCACAACAAGUGGGAGGAGAUGUGGGCCAGCAAGUGAGAUCUUCACCAAAAUGAACUCCACCAUAGAGGAGCAUGGCAUCCCUUGGGAGAACUGCAUUGGUCUCUCAGUUUACAAUGCAGCUGUGAACAUUGGACCACGGAAUUCCAUUGCCUCUAGGGUGCUCCAGAAGCAUCCCAACACCUAUAUUCAUGGUUGUCCUUGUCAUGUGGCACAUAACACCGCCAAAGCUGCAGGAGUGGGAUUUUUUAAAGAUUUUUUAAAGUGUCCGGUUUUGAUUUGGAGGAUAUGGUAGUGGACAUCGGUUACUGGUUCAAGGGUAGCACAAAUCGGAAAGGAUACCUGUCAGGUAUGCAUGUUUGAUACUAUUAAGUGUAAUACUGAAAUGCUGAGCUGUAGAAAAUAUAUGAUAUGGAUUUAAUGUCUAAAACAGAGUUUUGUGAGCUCCAUGAAGCGGAGUACAUGGAGGUCCUCCUGCAUAUCUCGGUCCGUUGGCUAAGCCUUGAACGUUGUGUGACCAGGAUCCUGAGGCUGUAUGAACCUCUGGCCAGCUACUACAAAUCUGCUAAUGAAAAUCAGGCCAGGUUCAAGAGACUUGUGCAGACAUUCACUGUCCCCAUGACAGAAGUGUACCUGCUGUUCUUCCAAGCCACCGUACCAACUUUCACUUCUUUCAACUUGCUGCUUCAGAGAGAGCAGUCAUCAAUAUUUUUGUUACAUGAUGAGGUGGGAUUGGAUUUUGCAGUUUUUUUCCAUUCUGUGUUUCUUGCUGAUAUCUGCAGGGGUCCUCUAAAACA